GAUGAACGCUGGCGGCGUGCCUAAUACAUGCAAGUCGAACGAAACUUCUUUAUCACCGAGUGCUUGCACUCACCGAUAAAGAGUUGAGUGGCGAACGGGUGAGUAACACGUGGGCAGCCUGCCCAAAAGAGGGGGAUAACACUUGGAGACAGGUGCUAAUACCGCAUAACCAUAGUUACCGCAUGGUAACUAUGUAAAAGGUGGCUAUACUACCGCUUUUGGAUGGGCCCGCGGCGCAUUAGCUAGUUGGUAGGGUAAAGGCUUACCAAGGCAAUGAUGCGUAGCCGAAUUGAGAGGUUGAUCGGCCACAUUGGGACUGAGACACGGCCCAAACUCCUACGGGAGGCAGCAGUAGGGAAUCUUCCACAAUGGGCGAAAGCCUGAUGGAGCAACGCCGCGUGGGUGAAGAAGGUCUUCGGAUCGUAAAACCCUGUUGUUAGAGAAGAAAGUGCGUGAGAGUAACUGUUCACGUUUCGACGGUAUCUAACCAGAAAGCCACGGCUAACUACGUG
rnacentral:rRNA from 1 species